rnacentral:misc_RNA from 1 species
GAAAUGCGAUAAUUAAUGUGAAUUGCAGAAUUCAGUGAAUCAUCGAGUCUUUGAACGCACAUUGCGCCCCCGGGUAUUCCGGGGGGCAUGCCUGUCCGAGCGUCAUUGCUGCCCUCAAGCACGGCUUGUGUGUUGGGCUUCCGUCCCUGGCAACGGGGACGGGCCCAAAAGGCAGUGGCGGCACCAUGUCUGGUCCUCGAGCGUAUGGGGCUUUGUCACCCGCUCCCGUAGGUCCAGCUGGCAGCUAGCCUCGCAACCAAUCUUUUUAACCAGGUUGACCUCGGAUCAGGUAGGGAUACCCGCUGAACUUAAGC